AUUGAACGCUGGCGGCAGGCCUAACACAUGCAAGUCGAGCGAGCGGCGGACGGGUGAGUAAUGUAUGGGGACUGCCCGAUAGAGGGGGAUAACUACUGGAAACGGUGGCUAAUACCGCAUACUAUCGGAUAACCCAUAUGGGAUUGGCUAGUAGGGGGGGUAAAGGCUCACCUAGGCGAGGAUCUCUAGCUGGUCUGAGAGGAUGAUCGGCCACACUGGGACUGAGACACGGCCCAGACUCCUACGGAGGCAGCAGUGGGGAAUAUUGGACAAUGGGCGCAAGCCGGAUGAAGCCAGGCCGCGGGGAGGAAGAAGGCCUUAGGGUUGUAAAGUACUUUCAGCGGGGAGGCGGUAACCGAAGAAGAAGCACCGGCUAACUCCGUGCCAGCAGCCGCGGUAAUAC
rnacentral:rRNA from 1 species